AGCAACAAAUGCCCUGCUUCCAGGAAAAGCCUCUAAGCAUCAGGUAACAUCAAAUCGUACCCCAAACCGACACAGGUGGUCAGGUAGAGAAUACCAAGGCGCUUGAGAGAACUCGGGUGAAGGAACUAGGCAAAAUGGUGCCGUAACUUCGGGAGAAGGCACGCUGACACGUAGGUGAAGUGAUUUACUCAUGGAGCUGAAGUCAGUCGAAGAUACCAGCUGGCUGCAACUGUUUAUUAAAAACACAGCACUGUGCAAACACGAAAGUGGACGUAUACGGUGUGACGCCUGCCCGGUGCCGGAAGGUUAAUUGAUGGGGUCAGCGCAAGCGAAGCUCCUGAUCGAAGCCCCGGUAAACGGCGGCCGUAACUAUAACGGUCCUAAGGUAGCGAAAUUCCUUGUCGGGUAAGUUCCGACCUGCACGAAUGGCGUAAUGAUGGCCAGGCUGUCUCCACCCGAGACUCAGUGAAAUUGAACUCGCUGUGAAGAUGCAGUGUACCCGCGGCAAGACGGAAAGACCCCGUGAACCUUUACUAUAGCUUGACACUGAACAUUGAGCCUUGAUGUGUAGGAUAGGUGGGAGGCUUUGAAGCGUGGACGCCAGUCUGCGUGGAGCCGACCUUGAAAUACCACCCUUUAAUGUUUGAUGUUCUAACGUGGACCCGUAAUCCGGGUUGCGGACAGUGUCUGGUGGGUAGUUUGACUGGGGCGGUCUCCUCCUAAAGAGUAACGGAGGAGCACGAAGGUUGGCUAAUCCUGGUCGGACAUCAGGAGGUUAGUGCAAUGGCAUAAGCCAGCUUGACUGCGAGCGUGACGGCGCGAGCAGGUGCGAAAGCAGGUCAUAGUGAUCCGGUGGUUCUGAAUGGAAGGGCCAUCGCUCAACGGAUAAAAGGUACUCCGGGGAUAACAGGCUGAUACCGCCCAAGAGUUCAUAUCGACGGCGGUGUUUGGCACCUCGAUGUCGGCUCAUCACAUCCUGGGGCUGAAGUAGGUCCCAAGGGUAUGGCUGUUCGCCAUUUAAAGUGGUACGCGAGCUGGGUUUAGAACGUCGUGAGACAGUUCGGUCCCUAUCUGCCGUGGGCGCUGGAAGACUGAGGGGGGCUGCUCCUAGUACGAGAGGACCGGAGUGGACGCAUCACUGGUGUUCGGGUUGUCAUGCCAAUGGCACUGCCCGGUAGCUAAAUGCGGAAAAGAUAAGUGCUGAAAGCAUCUAAGCACGAAACUUGCCCCGAGAUGAGUCUUCCCUGAGACUUUGAGUCUCCUGAAGGAACGUUAAAGACGAUGACGUUGAUAGGCCGGGUGUGUAAGCGCAGCGAUGCGUUGAGCUAACCGGUACUAAUGAACCGUGAGG
rnacentral:rRNA from 2 species